rnacentral:rRNA from 1 species
UACGAAGGGGGCUAGCGUUGCUCGGAAUCACUGGGCGUAAAGCGCACGUAGGCGGCUUUUUAAGUCAGGGGUGAAAUCCUGGAGCUCAACUCCAGAACUGCCUUUGAUACUGAGAAGCUUGAGUCCGGGAGAGGUGAGUGGAACUGCGAGUGUAGAGGUGAAAUUCGUAGAUAUUCGCAAGAACACCAGUGGCGAAGGCGGCUCACUGGACUGGUACUGACGCUGAGGCGCGAAAGCGUGGGGAGCAAACGGG